rnacentral:rRNA from 1 species
GAUGAACGCUGGCGGCGUGCCUAACACAUGCAAGUCGAGCGAUUCUCUUCGGAGAAGAGCGGCGGACGGGUGAGUAACGCGUGGGUAACCUGCCCUGUACACACGGAUAACAUACCGAAAGGUAUGCUAAUACGAGAUAAUAUGCUUUUAUCGCAUGGUAGAAGUAUCAAAGCUUUUGCGGUACAGGAUGGACCCGCGUCUGAUCAGCUAGUUGGUAAGGUAAUGGCUUACCAAGGCGACGAUCAGUAGCCGACCUGAGAGGGUGAUCGGCCACAUUGGAACUGAGACACGGUCCAAACUCCUACGGGAGGCAGCAGUGGGGAAUAUUGCACAACGGGCGAAAGCCUGAUGCAGCAACGCCGCGUGAGCGAUGAAGGCCUUCGGGUCGUAAAGCUCUGUCCUCAAGGAAGAUAAUGACGGUACUUGAGGAGGAAGCCCCGGCUAACUACGUGCCAGCCGCCGCAGUAA